rnacentral:rRNA from 1 species
CACGAACGCUGGCGGCGUGCUUAACACAUGCAAGUCGAACGGAAAGGCCUCUUUCGGGGGGUACUCGAGUGGCGAACGGGUGAGUAACACGUGAGUAACCUGCCCUUGACUUUGGGAUAACUUCAGGAAACUGGGGCUAAUACCGGAUAGGAGCUCCUGCUGCAUGGUGGGGGUUGGAAAGUUUCGGCGGUUGGGGAUGGACUCGCGGCUUAUCAGCUUGUUGGUGGGGUAGUGGCUUACCAAGGCUUUGACGGGUAGCCGGCCUGAGAGGGUGACCGGCCACAUUGGGACUGAGAUACGGCCCAGACUCCUACGGGAGGCAGCAGUGGGGAAUAUUGCACAAUGGGUGGAAGCCUGAUGCAGCAACGCCGUGUGCGGGAUGACGGCCUUCGGGUUGUAAACCGCUUUCGCUCAUGACGAAGCUUUGUGUGACGGUAGUGGGUAAAGAAGCACCGGCUAACUACGUG